CAAUUCAAGAAUACAUAAAAAGAAAAAGAAACAUCCCACACGAGACAUUUAUGGGAGGAUUCAUCCUAGAAAAGAUUGCAUGGCCCCUGUCAGCUGGUCAACUCAGCUUGCUCAACACAAAUGUAGACGAUAACCCGUCGGUCACCUUCAACUACUUCAACCACCCGUACGAUUUAGCACGAUGUGUGGACGGUAUACGCAUAAUUGAGAAGAUUUUGAAGUCUAAACACUUCAUAAACUACACGAAGUGUGACAAGGAGACGAUCGAAAAGAUACUAAACAUGAGUGUUCACGCCAAUGUUAAUCUUAUUCCUAAGCAUACCAAUGACACAAAAUCCCUAGAGCAGUUUUGUAAAGACACUGUUAUCACAAUUUGGCACUACCACGGAGGGUGCCAUGUGGGCAAGGUGGUGAGCCCUGAUCAUAAGGUAUUCGGGGUUGAAAGACUUCGUGUUAUUGAUGGCUCGACAUUUGCUAGCUCCCCCGGCACCAAUCCGCAAGCCACGGUGAUGAUGAUGGGCCGGUAAGAUCAUCGUAUUCUUGUUUAUAUGAGAAAAUUUAUUGACAAAAAUUUAACAAAUAUAUAUCAUCUUACAACUUGAUUAUAAAUACAGGUACAUGGGAGUGAAGAUAUUGAGAGAGAGAUUAGGGAAAGCAGCUGGAGUAUAAAGUCUAACACCAAGUAGAGAAGUAGAAAAUGUUCAAUUUAUUGUGUUUCGUUAUCAGAAAAUGUAAUUUUUGUGAUUCUUAUUUAUUAUAUGUAGAGAGAUUAGGCAGGGUUUGGCAUUUAAGAAGUAAGCUAUGUGGUAUUUAAUGUAUAGUCUCAUCCUAGACUUAUGUUUCGUUUGCAAUGCUGUCUUGAUGUAUAUUUUUUAAGACUCUACAUAGUGAAUCUACUAUUGGAUGGACUGAUUUAUUAGGCUAAUUUGCAUUUCUCUUGACAUUAAAUCUCACCCAUCUUUUUAUUUAUAUAUUUUUUCUUCAGUAAUUCUAUCUAGCAUCCAUCCAUGAUUAUGAGGUCCACAAUCUACAUACGACACUAAUGGUAGACGGUGGAUCUCAAUGCCAUGUAAACUGAUGAUAACAUUAUUCAUUCUGUGUUUAUAAGUACUUUACUCCAGGGCCUAAGUUACUUAGAGUCAUUUUUGCAGAAUUUUCACAUUUCCUUAGCCGAUACAUCACAAACCUCUGCAUCACAAGUAUUUAUUUCCACCGAUGGAGUUAUUAAUUCCAGGGCUAGAAUCUUGGGUGGAGGUACCUGCAUCAAUGCAGGAUUUUACACCAGAGCAAGCGCAAGGUACAGCUCCAAAAUGCCUACUGACCACAUUUUUGCUUCUUUCCUAGUUUGAGUUAUAUAAGUGUACAUGUUUUGGGUGAAAAUUUGCCAGAGAAGAAAUCAAAUAUGACGAUUGGAAUAGUGAAAUAACGGUCAAAAAAUCAAUUUUUUGGAAGGAAAAAUCGCUCCCAAACGGACUCUUAGUAUUUCAUAAUUCAGUAUUUCAAUUCUAUAACAUUUGGGUUACGGUUUGAUUGUUAAAAGUUGUGCAUCAUGUUUAUAAUUAUUUAAUAGGUAAGUUGAGUAAACACAAAUAACUUUGAUAAAAAAAUAUAAGGAAAAAUAAAAGGAAAGGGAAAGGGAAAGGGAAAAGUUUGCAACCCCGUUCGCAAUCUUCCCACCUGGCCACCUGACCAUUCUUCCCUGCCGCCGCCUGCGGCUAGUUUCGUUCCUCACCAGUUGGUUUCCCCAUAUUGCCUACCCCGUUCUCCGUAUUUUGUCCGCACUCGUAAUGAGGGAUAGUAUAGUUUUUUCAAUUAUUUUCUUAUUCAUUAUUGUAGUGUCCUAUCAUAUGAAAUAUUGUUGUAUCCAACAUACUCCUGUGACGCUUGUGACCCACUUAACUAGUCAUGGGUCACAUAACAUAAACCAAUAUUGUACCAUGACCAUAUAAAUUCAAUUGAAAAUUUUACUUCAUUUACUUCUUGGUAACUUGAUCAAAUGUACACUUGUUUUCAUAGUAUUCGAAUAUCUAAUAUAGCAUUAGGCCUUGGUAAGUUACUACAUAGGAAGAGCGUACUCAACUAGAGAGUUCAAAUCCCAGGUUAAUAUAGAGCGACCGGUAGAAGAAUGCCUGAUAUUUGUUCCCAUUUUUGGGCUAUCGGGUCAUUUCUAGUCUCUCGUUAUGCGAACUAUGCUAGAAAAUAUUUGACCUUCUUCCUUUGAUUUUCAAGCAAGAUUUUUAGAAAGAUGGUUGAUAUGUGCCAACUUGUUAACACUUGAAUUUUGUGACUUCCAGUUACAUUAAAAGAGUAGGGUGGGAUGCAAAACUGGUGAAUGAAUCAUAUCCAUGGGUUGAGAGGCAAAUUGUGCAUAGGCCAGAGCUUGUGCCGUGGCAAAGAGCAUUUAGGGACAGCCUUAUAGAAGUUGGAAUCUCACCUUUCAAUGGAUUCACCUAUGAUCAUCUAUAUGGAACCAAAAUUGGUGGAACUAUUUUUGACAGGUUCGGUCGGCGUCACACCGCCGCUGAGCUCCUUGCCUCGGCAAAUCCCGAUAAUCUCCAUGUUUUAGUACACGCAACAGUCCAAAAGAUUGUGUUUGACAAAACAAGUAAGUAUUACUUAAUAGGUCUAGAGAGUACAAACAACAAGAUUUCAUCGUGUAAUUUAUUAUCAGUAUCUUGGUAAUAUGCAAUGCCAUUACAGGUAAAAGACCUCGGGCAGUUGGAGUCAUUUUCAAAGACGAAAACGGGAAGCAAAACAAAGCAUUUCUUUCGAAGAGGCCAAGGAGUGAAAUUAUCGUGUCAUCGGGAGCACUUGGGAGCCCUCAACUGCUGCUGCUUAGUGGGAUCGGUCCAAAGGCAGAUCUUGAAAAAUUGAACAUAUCUGUGGUUCUUGACAAUGAAUUUGUUGGAAAGGGCAUGGCUGACAACCCGCUCAACACAAUCUAUAUCCCAACAAAUAGGAAUAUCAAACAGUCUUUAAUACAAGUUGUAGGAAUUACCAAGUUGGGAGUGUACAUUGAAGCUAGCAGUGGAUUUGGACAGUCCAUGGAUAGCAUUCAUUGGAACAAUGGAAUUGUUUCUGCAGAGGUGAGCACCAUGUUUCUUUGUGUAUGUCUUGUAUACAGUAAUGAAUAGGAUUAGACACUAAAAUAGACAAUAUUUUAGCUUCUUUUUCUUCUUUCGUACUGUCUAGUGUUAAAUAGUCGACUUUACCAAACAAUAGCAUUUUGUUAUGUUAACAGAUAGGGCAGCUAUCUACCAUUCCUCCAAAGCAAAGAUCACAUGAAGCAAUUCAAGAAUACAUAAAAAGAAAAAGAAACAUCCCACACGAGACAUUUAUGGGAGGAUUCAUCCUAGAAAAGAUUGCAUGGCCCCUGUCAGCUGGUCAACUCAGCUUGCUCAACACAAAUGUAGACGAUAACCCGUCGGUCACCUUCAACUACUUCAACCACCCGUACGAUUUAGCACGAUGUGUGGACGGUAUACGCAUAAUUGAGAAGAUUUUGAAGUCUAAACACUUCAUAAACUACACGAAGUGUGACAAGGAGACGAUCGAAAAGAUACUAAACAUGAGUGUUCAUG
rnacentral:lncRNA from 1 species